GGGAUUUGGGGUCUGAGUGUGGGAUUUGGGGUUGAAUUCCUGGGAUUUUGGGGUCUUUUCUCCCGAAUUUGGGGCCAUUAUGGGGAUUUUGGGGUGUGAGUGUGGGAUUUUGGGGUGAAUUCCUGGCAUUUUGGUCCCGCAGGUACGUGGGGGAGCUGAUCUCUGACGCGGAGGCCGACGUCCGUGAGGACGAUUCGUAUCUCUUCGACCUGGACAACAAGGUGCUCAUUUUGGGGCCAAAUCCCACAAUUUUGGGUCCGUCUCAUCGUAUUGGGUCAAAUCUGGGUUGUUUUGGGUCUAAUUGGUGCCAUUUUGGGUCAAAUUGGUGCCAUUUUGGGUCUAAUUUCUGCUGUUUUGGGUCAAAUUGGUGGCAUUUUGGGUCAAAUCUGUGCUGAUUUGGGUCAAAUCUGUGCUGUUUUGGGUCUAAUUUGGUGCAAUUUUGGGUCUAAUUUGUGCUGUUUUGGGUCAAAUUGUUGCCAUUUUGGGUCAAAUCUGUGCCGUUUUGGGUCAAAUCUGGGCCGUUUUGGGUCGAAUUGGUGCCAUUUUGGGUCAAAUUGGUGCCAUUUUGGGUCUAAUUUCUGCUGUUUUGGGUCAAAUUGUUGCCAUUUUGGGUCAAAUCUGUGCUCUUUUGGGUCGAAUUUGUGCCAUUUUGGGUCAAAUCUGUGCUGUUUUGGGACAAAUCUGUGCCAUUUUGGGUCUAAUCUGUGCUGUUUUGGGUCUAAUUUGGUGCAAUUUUGGUCUAAUUUGUGCUGUUUUGGGUCGAAUUGGUGCCAUUUUGGGUCAAAUCUGUGCUGUUUUGGGUCUAAUUUGGUGCAAUUUUGGUCUAAUUUGUGCCGUUUUGGGUCGAAUUGGUGCCAUUUUGGGUCAAAUCUGUGCAAUUUGGGAUCAAAUCUGCCCUAUUUUGGGUCGAAUUGGUGCCAUUUGGGGUCAAAUCUGUGCUGUUUUGGGUCUAAUUAGUGCCAUUUUCAGUCAAAUUGUUCCCAUUUUGGGUCAAAUCUGUGCUGUUUUAGGUCUAAUUGCUGCCAUUUGGGGGCGAACUGGUGCCAUUUUCAGUCAAAUUGGUGCCAUUUUGGGUCAAAUCUAUGCUGUUUUGGGUCAAAUCUGUGCAAUUUUGAGCCCAAUUUCCACCAUUUUGAGCCCAAUCUCUGCCAUUUUGAGUCCAAUUUCCACUAUUUUGCGUCCAACCUCCGCUAUUUUGGGUCAAUUUCUGCCAUUUUGAGCCCAAUCUCCACCAUUUUGAGCCCAAUCUCUGCCAUUUUGAGUGCAAUUUUCACUAUUUUCAUCCCAAUCUCUGCUAUUUUGAGCCCAAUUUCCACCAUUUCGAGCCCAAUCUCCACCAUUUCGAGCCCAAUCUGCCAUUUUGAGUCCAAUUUUCACUAUUUUCAGCCCAAUCUGUGCCAUUUUGAGUCCAAUCUCCACCAUUUCGAGCCCAAUCUCCACCAUUUCGAGCCCAAUCUCCACCAUUUUGAGCCCAAUUUCCACCAUUUCGAGCCCAAUCUGUGCCAUUUUGAGCCCAAUCUCCACCAUUUCGAGCCCAACCUCCACCAUUUCGAGCCCAAUCUGCCAUUUUGAGUCCAAUUUUCACUAUUUUGAGUCCAAUUUUCACUAUUUUGAGCCCAAUCUCCACCAUUUCGAGCCCAAUCUCCACCAUUUCGAGCCCAAUCUCUGCCAUUUUGAGUCCAAUUUUCACUAUUUUCAGUCCAAUCUCUGCUAUUUCGAGCCCAAUUUCCCCUAUUUUGGGUCCAAUUUCCACUAUUUUGGGUCCCAUCUCUGCCAUUUUGAGCACAAUCUGCACCAUUUCGAGCCCAAUUUUCACAAUUUUCAUCCCAAUCUCCACCAUUUCGAGCCCAAUCUCCACCAUUUCGAGCCCAAUCUCUGCCAUUUUGAGNNNNNNNNNNNNNNNNNNNNNNNNNNNNNNNNNNNNNNNNNNNNNNNNNNNNNNNNNNNNNNNNNNNNN
ensembl:lncRNA